rnacentral:piRNA from 1 species
UCUAUGCAACUGCACUGUCUCAGGACCUC